AUUUUUUUUUUCUGACAACAAAGUUAUUUUUAUUAAAAAAAAAGAGAAAUGUGUUUUUUUGUGUCUGUGUUCUCACAUUGUGUUGUGUUGUUCUAGGUGUGCCUACUCUUCCAUCUGCUGGCACGGUGCAUAGCCUUGCUUGUGAUGCUGCCACUGUUGUACCUCCACCUGUCACUACUAACACAUUCCAGGCCCCACAACCACAUCAUGAGCAGUGCCUUUCUAGGCAGCCUGGAGCUAAAGAGUAACACAAAUGCACUCACUUGCUGCACUUGACUUGUGUUGUCAUGGAAACAGUGGCAGUUUGUACAAACCAGGGAGGCCUUUCCCAGAUCACCCAUUGGAAGUGGUGUUGGGCUCUCAGAUCACUCUCAGGAACACUCGUGGCAAACCUGUCCCUUUUUGGCUUCACUCGCACAAACACACGUACCCUGUGAGGUGACUAUUUACCCAGCAGCCUCAUUUGGGAGCACAUUGAAAAUCUAUUCUGCCAUCAGUUUGAAACUCAAUGAGAAUCCUCAUUGUCUCCUCCUGUUCUCACUUGCAGGGCAGUAUAAAUGACCCAGAUUUGCUAAACCACUGUAAUGUUGGUAAUACUUUCCCUUUAAAUGUGACUGGACUGCAGGCUUACAUAGAUCUUCUCUUUGUGCAGAUAUGAAGGGGGCGUGGGAGCUCCCACCAGCAACAGGUCACCUGCUCCCCAUACAAUGAUGUCAAUAACUGGAGGAUUGAGAAGGACCUUGCACAGUAAAGUGAGAGUGGGGAUGUAUUUCAUUCAGAGUUUAACUCAUGAAGGAGAAUCUGAUUACAUUUCCACAAGCUGGAAGUGUUUGGAGAGAAAGCUUUGAAAGUUACCACCAAAGCCUGGUGUGGAACAUGGAGGAGCACAGAGGGGAGUCAGUACCACUUAUCUUUUCCCACCUCUCCACCAGACUCAGAUUCAGCUCAUGGACAACCCAGUGAUAUGAUAUUCUGCCAACCUCAGUGCCCUGACUUACUCUGCUUUACUGAUUUUCUACCUACUGCAUCCCACACGGUCUGAUCAGAGCAGGGGGUUAUGGGAGAUUAUACCCAAGUAAUAUGUUGGCAUGUAUGUAUGGAAGCAACUACCUGCCCACCAAAAUGGUGGUGCUGCUGCUGCCAUGUGGGUGAGACCUUAAUUCUGCUUGUUUGUCUGCGCGUCAGAGAGGGAGUGUGAGUGAGUGAGCAUUACAGUGCAGUAGGUGUGCCCGUGGCUACCUGUGGCUGCUGCACCGAGUUAACCCACCAGAUUGCCACUGUCGGCCUGAAUACAGAACUUAUUCUGAUUUCCCAGUGCCUCCCACCUGUAAUUCACUUGUGGGAAUUGUAGUUCAGAGGAGUCUCUCUCACUCUUUCUCUCAUUCUGCGCAGGGCCACCAGCAUGGGGCACAGUUCCUGCUGCUGUUGCUGACUCUGCUGCUGCUGGAGAAGGAUGAAGGAGCCGCCGGAUAAGAAGCCACAGGAGGGGGGUGAAAAAGUAUUUGCUGCUGAAUUUUAGAGCCUGGAAUAUCUGGAAAAAUAAGUAUUUACUAACAACCUCACCACCCACUGUCCAGUUCAACACUACCAGCCGCUGACUGAUUGGACCUCACCACGGUGCUACUUCCUGUCUCCAUUCAGACCUCGGUGAUGCACAGACCUGGGACAUGUCUAUACUUUUCUGGCUUUAUGUCUGUAUAUGCCAGUGGGUACAUGAGUAUACAGACUACAUUCAAUGAUGGGGAAUGGAGGGAGAUUCCCAGGAAUGACCAUUAGAAACAGAAUCUCCCGUACAGCGAGAUACCAUAAAACUAUGGCAGAAUAUGUAUUUCCCUGUACUAAGCACAAUUCAGCAGAAAC